GGAGGCGCCAUCAUUUAGCAGUUUGCUUAUGGUCACACAGCUGCGACUGGACCCCUUGUCUGACUGCUCCUGAGCCUGCAUUCUAGAUCUUGGAAGGAGCCGAAUGUGUCUCGGGGACACGGAGAAGUCAUCUGCUCCUGCAAAGCCUCGUGUGAGAAGACGAAAGCUAGGAAGAGGCGGUGGAAAGGCACGUGCUGGCCAGGACACCAGCAGCAGCUAGGAGGGCGCUCCCUCUAAGAAAUUGUCAUCGCAUGGCCUCAAGUCCAGACCUCCCUGGGCCUCAAGUCACAGCCAAUCCCGGAAGGUGCGCCCUGCAGAGUGGGGGCAAGGUGUAGGCCUCGCUGAACUCGGGGAGGGGAGGGAGCGCGCCAGCGGGCACUGAGGUCCUUCUCCCCUCGGCGGAGCUCUCAUCCUGGUCAGGUCGGCUUGGACGCUGCUGCGGGCUCCCGCGUUCUGCGCUAGGUGGCGAAAUGCUGUGGGGCUCCCCUAUUCGGGGGAAUGCGGUAGUGAUGUAUAAGGUAUGAAAGAUGUGGCCUGCAGAGAGCCGGCACUAUCUCUACUGCUGCUGCUGCUACUGCUGCUGCCGCCGCUGCCGCCGCUGCCGCUCCUGCUGCCGGCAGAGCUGCUGGGAGUGAGCUGAGCAUCCCGCGUGCGGGGCUCCCAGCUCCGCGGCAGCUCCCGAGCCCCGGCCACCCCCGCAGCCGCCCUCCACGGCCCCGCCAGCCCCAGGGAACAAAAGCGGAACUCUGUCGCCCGCUCCUGCAGCCAGAGGAUGAGUCGAGAGGGCUGAGCGCAGAGUGUGGUCCUCAGCGGCUGGGCUGGAAGCUGCUGUCACAUAUGGUGGUGACCCAUAGGGUCUGUCGUGUUGCUGCUACUGAUGAUGACGAUAAUGAUGAUGAUCUCUUUUGACUCAUUUUUCAGGUGAGAUUAACACUAUUGAAUACUUCCUCUGAGACAGACAUUGUGUUAGGCACUCAGCAGGCCUAUUCACAUUUUCUUCAAACAAUUAGUGUGUCAAAAAAUAGGGGUGUCUGGGUGCCUCAGUUAAACAUCCAACUCUUGAUUUCGGCUCAGGUCAUAAUCUCAGGGUUGUGAGACUGAGCCCAGUGUCAGGCUCUGCAUUGGGCCUGAAGCCUGUUUAAGAUUCUUUUUCUUCCUCUGUCCCUUCCACUCCCCUUCCCCCCACUGGCAUGCGUGCUCUUCUCUCUCUCUCUCU
rnacentral:lncRNA from 1 species